GAGAUUCUCAGAUCCCACCCGGGGUUGCUGCCAUUUCCGAGUCCCUCUGUUACUUUCGCUUUCACACUCAGUAGAUGCUGCCGGCGGACAGUGCGUUUAUCCCUGUGGAACAAGAACAGGAUUCUUUAAACACAAUAAAAUCAAAACCCAACCCUGCUAGAAAAGGCUGUGAUCAGACGGCAGCUAUUUGAUACCCGGAAGUAGCUGGGCAUCUUGAUGAAAUGAAAUAACUUAUAGUUUGAGGACUAUCUCGGCAAAGCCUGAGGCUUUCAGAAGGACAGACCGCCCCCUACGCGCCAUGAACCGUCUCCGGAGGAUCAAUCCGGAGGAAGCUGUGUUGAAGAUUAUGAAAGGAACACGUCUGAACAUGCAGGAUCUUCAGGAGAAUCCAUUCUCAACAUACAGGAUUCUGAAGACCACCUUCAAGAUCACCAUCAUUUUCGAUAGUUUCAGAAAAAACAACAGAGAGUCUUGUGGCACCUUAAAGACUAACAAAUUUAUUGGAACAUAAGCUUUCGUGGGCUUUAGCCCACUUCUUCAGAUGUGGGAGUUUAAACUGGAGUUUGGCAGAUCAAGUUACAGUGAAGAUGAAGGUUCUUUCAUUUUGUCCUAGCUCCGCAGUGAGCUCCUCUCUGACUGGUUGGAUCAUUUUCUUCCUUACUUUUCACAUUCACAAGCUGGAAUCAGCCAAGUUCAGAGUGACCGGUCCUGGUCACCCUGUCACUGCCAGGAUGGGGGAGGCCAUUGUGUUACCCUGUCACCUGUCCCCCAGGAUAAGCGCUGUGAACAUGGAGGUGAGAUGGUUCUGAUCUGAGUUCACUUCAGUUGUUCACCAGUAUUAUGAAGGAAAGGAGCAGUAUGGAAAGCAGAU